rnacentral:rRNA from 1 species
CGCGGCCUAUCAGCUUGUUGGUGAGGUAACGGCUCACCAAGGCAUCGACGGGUAGCUGGUCUGAGAGGAUGAUCAGCCACACUGGGACUGAGACACGGCCCAGACUCCUACGGGAGGCAGCAGUAGGGAAUCUUGCGCAAUGGGCGAAAGCCUGACGCAGCAACGCCGCGUGGGGGAUGAAUGCCUUCGGGUUGUAAACCCCUUUCAGCAGGGACGAAAUUGACGGUACCUGCAGAAGAAGGUCCGGCCAACUACGUGCCAGCAGCCGCGGUAAUACGUAGGGACCAAGCGUUGUCCGGAAUUAUCGGGCGUAAAGAGCUCGUAGGCGGUUCAGUAAGUCGGGUGUGAAAACUCAAGGCUCAACCUUGAGACGCCACUCGAUACUGCUGUGACUUGAGUCCGGUAGAGGAGUGUGGAAUUCCUGGUGUAGCGGUGAAAUGCGCAGAUAUCAGGGGGAACACCAGCGGCGAAGGCGGCACUCUGGGCCGGUACUGACGCUGAGGAGCGAAAGCAUGGGGAGCAAACAGGAUUAGAUACCCUGGUAGUCCAUGCCGUAAACGUUGGGCACUAGGUAUGGGACCAUAUCAACGGGUUCCGUGCCGUAGCUAACGCAUUAAGUGCCCCGCCUGGGGAGUACGG